GCGGAGGAAAAGAAACCAACAGGGAUUGCCUCAGUAGCGGCGAGUGAAGCGGCAAAAGCUCAAAUUUGAAAUCUGGCGUCUUUGGCGUCCGAGUUGUAAUUUGAAGAAGGUAUCUUUGGGCCCGGCUCUUGUCUAUGUUCCUUGGAACAGGACGUCACAGAGGGUGAGAAUCCCGUGCGAUGAGAUGACCCGGGUCUGUGUAAAGUUCCUUCGACGAGUCGAGUUGUUUGGGAAUGCAGCUCUAAGUGGGUGGUAAAUUCCAUCUAAAGCUAAAUAUUGGCGAGAGACCGAUAGCGAACAAGUACAGUGAUGGAAAGAUGAAAAGAACUUUGAAAAGAGAGUGAAAAAGUACGUGAAAUUGUUGAAAGGGAAGGGCUUGAGAUCAGACUUGGUAUUUUGCAUGUUGCUCUCUCGGGGGCGGCCGCUGCGGUUUACCGGGCCAGCAUCGGUUUGGAGCGGCAGGAUAAUGGCGGAGGAAUGUGGCACGGCUUCUGCUGUGUGUUAUAGCCUCUGACGAUACUGCCAGCCUAGACCGAGGACUGCGGUUUUUUACCUAGGAUGUUGGCAUAAUGAUCUUAAGUCGCCCGUCUUG
rnacentral:rRNA from 1 species